CUAUACUGCAGUCGAGCGAACUGAUGGGAGCUUGCUCCCUGAUGAUUAGCGGCGGACGGGUGAGUAACACGUGGGUAACCUGCCUGUAAGACUGGGAUAACUCCGGGAAACCGGGGCUAAUACCGGAUAACUUUUUUCUUCGCAUGAGGGAGAAUUGAAAGAUGGCUUCGGCUAUCACUUACAGAUGGACCCGCGGCGCAUUAGCUAGUUGGUGAGGUAACGGCUCACCAAGGCGACGAUGCGUAGCCGACUUGAGAGGGUGAUCGGCCACACUGGGACUGAGACACGGCCCAGACUCCUACGGGAGGCAGCAGUAGGGAAUCUUCCGCAAUGGACGAAAGUCUGACGGAGCAACGCCGCGUGAGUGAUGAAGGUUUUCGGAUCGUAAAACUCUGUUGUUAGGGAAGAACAAGUAUCGUUCGAAUAGGGCGGUACCUUGACGGUACCUAACCAGAAAGCCACGGCUAACUACGUGCCAGCAGCCGCGGUAAUACGUAGGUGGCAAGCGUUGUCCGGAAUUAUUGGGCGUAAAGCGCGCGCAGGCGGUUUCUUAAGUCUGAUGUGAAAUCUUGCGGCUCAACCGCAAGCGGCCAUUGGAAACUGGGAGACUUGAGUGCAGAAGAGGAGAGUGGAAUUCCACGUGUAGCGGUGAAAUGCGUAGAGAUGUGGAGGAACACCAGUGGCGAAGGCGACUCUCUGGUCUGUAACUGACGCUGAGGCGCGAAAGCGUGGGGAGCGAACAGGAUUAGAUACCCUGGUAGUCCACGCCGUAAACGAUGAGUGCUAAGUGUUAGAGGGUUUCCGCCCUUUAGUGCUGCAGCUAACGCAUUAAGCACUCCGCCUGGGGAGUACGGCCGCAAGGCUGAAACUCAAAGGAAUUGACGGGGGCCCGCACAAGCGGUGGAGCAUGUGGUUUAAUUCGAAGCAACGCGAAGAACCUUACCAGGUCUUGACAUCCUCUUGACCUCCCUAGAGAUAGGGAUUUCCCUUCGGGGACAGGAGUGACAGGUGGUGCAUGGUUGUCGUCAGCUCGUGUCUUGAGAUGUUGGGUUAAGUCCCAACGAAGGCAACCCUUGACCUUAGUUGCCAGAUUGUUGGGCACUCUAAGGACUGCCGGUGACAACCCGAAGAAGGGGGGUGCGCGAAUCUC
rnacentral:rRNA from 2 species